UUGGAGGGCAAGUCUGGUGCCAGCAGCCGCGGUAAUUCCAGCUCCAAUAGCGUAUAUUAAAGUUGUUGCAGUUAAAAAGCUCGUAGUUGAAUUUCGGGAUCAGAGUGUCAGUCGUGCCUCGGUACGUACUGGUAUUAUUGGUUCCUACCUUCUGAAGAACCGCGAUGUCAUUAAUUUGGUGUCGUGGGGAAUCAGGACUGUUACUUUGAAAAAAUUAGAGUGUUUAAAGCAGGCUUACGCUUGAAUACAUUAGCAUGGAAUAAUGAAAUAGGACGUUUGAUUCUAUUUUGUUGGUUUCUAGGAUUGACGUAAUGAUUAAUAGGGAUAGUUGGGGGCAUUAGUAUUCAAUUGUCAGAGGUGAAAUUCUUGGAUUUAUUGAAGACUAACUACUGCGAAAGCAUUUGCCAAGGAUGUUUUCAUUAAUCAAGAACGAGAGUUAGGGGAUCGAAGACGAUCAGAUACCGUCGUAGUCUUAACCAUAAACUAUGCCGACUAGGGAUCGGAUGAUGUUAAUUUUUUAAUGACUCAUUCGGCGCCUUACGGGAAAC
rnacentral:rRNA from 1 species